rnacentral:lncRNA from 1 species
AAAAUUAUUUUCAUCCAUCUUUUCAUGUUUAUCAAAAAAUAAGAGGAUGGAUAGAAGAUACAUCCAUCUUCUCUUCAUCUAUCCUUUUUUUUUUCAUCCAUUCUUCUUUUAAUCCAUCUUCCGAACCAAACAGAGCAUUAAGGUCUGUAAUAUUGGAUCUAGCUUCUAAAAUUAGGCGCUCAUAUCAAUGUAUGUUUUUGUAGCUUGCUAUACAUUUGUGCUCUCUCAGUUGUUGAAGUUGUUAUCAUUUCCCCUCCAUAAUCCAUGUGACGUUAUUUUUGUUUGUAUCCAAUCUGAUUCAUGUUGGCUGUUGUUUGCUGAUUUAUCUGGCUAUCUAAGCUUGCGAGGAAGACUUGAAUUGGGAGCCUGAGUUGUCAUGCCCCCUUGAAGCUAUGCGCAGUUUGAUUGAGAACAUAAUUGGAAAUCUUGUAUUCGGUUUGAUGAGUCCUGUAUUUGAUGACAUGAUGGGAUUGCGCAAGUUGCACGUAACAGGCAAUUGGAGCCUGGGCUAUGUUAGGGGACAAACCCAUACAAAGGCAGGAUGUUUAAUUGAUGUUAUUUAGAUUUGAAUGCAUUGCAUGGCUUUUAGCUGGUUUAUCACCAAUAUUUUUAAUGAAUUGAGUUUUACAAAGGAAUCUGGAAAAAUAAUGGCUAAUAGAAAAAUGAAUCUCGCUGUUGGAACUGCUGGUUGAGGAUGGAGCCAUCAGGCCCUCGUGUAAAGAGGCUAAAGAUCUCCUGUGGAGAACCUCCGGCACCACAUCGGUCGUGGAUCUGAGGCAUGGCGUUAUGCCUCCAGAUUUUCGUUCGGUUGUGCGCGCGCCUGUGAUUUGGUGCUUUUCACGCUCUUCGCUUGUAUUACCUCCAGACGGAUUUCCUUACCCUCUCUGGAACGAUCUGCAACCUCGGUCUCCUGAUCGUCCCUGCUGCGACCUGCAACC